GGAUUACUAGCUCAAUCGGUAGAGCGUGAGACUCUUAAUCUCAAGGUUCGGGGUUCGGAUCCCCGGUAGUCCU